rnacentral:lncRNA from 1 species
GUACUGAGCCAGAGGCAGAACUCACAGCUCACCUCAGAGGUGAGGGUGAGAGUGUGAAAUGCUGUGGCGGUGAAAGUGAGGAGUCCUCGGUGUUCUCUGAGGCCAAGUUUCACAGCCCACUUUCUUCCCUCCCCAUGCCCUGGUGGAAUGCGGGCAUUAGGAUGGCACAAGCUCCACUUCCUGGCCCCGGGAGGAGGAAUUCCCUGCAGGAGGGAAUAGGCCCUUCAGAGCUGAUCUGUCCUGUGAGAAUUCCCAGCUGUGUGUGUGGCUUGUCCUCCCCACUAGAACAGGAGCUCCCUGUUGGAAAGGAUCAUUCUGUACCUCGCUCGUGCCCACUCACGAAGCAGAUGCUCAACACAUGCUCAUGAAAUGAAGCCAGCCUUGUCCUGACUGCACUUCACUCAGCCCUGGUUGAAGAGGCCUCAGAGUGAAGUUUUGAAGGCAUUCAUCUACAGUCCCAGGAACACUCAGUUUUUUUUUGUUUGUUUGUUUUGUUUUUUUCCUGAGACGGAGUUUCGCUCUUGUCGCCCAGACUGGAGUGCAAUGACGUGAUAUCAGCUCACUGCCUCCCGGGUUCAAUCAAUUCUCCUGCCUCAGUCUCCGGAGUACCUGGAAUUGCAAGCACCCACCACCACGUCCGGCUACUUUUUGUAUUUUUAGUAGAGAUGGGUUUCAUCAAGUUGGCCAGGAUGGUCUCGAACUCCUGACCUCAGGUGAUCCACCUGCCUCGGCCUCCAAAAGUGUCGGUAUUACAGGCAUGAGCCACCGCACCCAGCCAGGGACACCCAAUUUGUAUAAGAAAGCAAUGUACUGCUUUAUCAUAAACUGGGACGAGGUCUGAAACGCUAGGCCAGUGGUUCUCAAAAUGCAGCCCCUGGACCAGGAGCAACAGCAUCACCUGGGAACUUGUUAGAAAUGCAGAUUCUUAGGUCCCACCCUGACCUGUGGAAUCAGACACUCUAGGUAGGGUGCCGUGGUCUGUGCCUUAACAAGCCCGUCUUGUGGUUUGCAUGCUCCUUAAAUGUGGAGGACUGCUGCUGUGUGCAAAAUGACAGUGAAGAGGACUGGGGCGAGUGGCUGAGGCCUCAGGCAAACAGGGGAGUCUUCAGGAGAGAAAGGAAGCUGGCACACCUGCCCCAAAUCCAUUCACUGCCACAUGCAGAAGAUGAGAGAGCCACCAACUCCUAGUACCCUUGCCCCCUGGUGAACAGGACCCCAAAUUAAUGUCCUAGAAUCUGAGCAGCCAGGUCAGCAGCUCCUGUGGAGUAAGGAAGGACUAGAGUGAGAGGAAAGGCUUCCUUCUGGGUAAGAAGAGGAGAAAAAUGCCUAUCCUGCCC